rnacentral:rRNA from 1 species
UCUUGCGCAAUGCGCGAAAGCGUGACGCAGCAACGCCGCGUGGGGGAAGAAGGCCUUCGGGUUGUAAACCCCUUUCAGUUGGGACGAAGCUUCGCCGGUUAAUAGCCGGCUGGAGUGACGGUACCUUCAGAAGAAGCUCCGGCUAACUACGUGCCAGCAGCCGCGGUAAUACGUAGGGAGCUAGCGUUGUCCGGAAUCAUUGGGCGUAAAGCGCGUGUAGGCGGCCCGGUAAGUCCGCUGUGAAAGUCGGGGGCUCAACCCUCGGAUGCCGGUGGAUACUGUCGGGCUUGAGUGCGGAAGAGGCGAGUGGAAUUCCUGGUGUAGCGGUGAAAUGCGCAGAUAUCAGGAGGAACUCCAAUUGCGAAGGCAGCUCGCUGGGACGCUACUGACGCUGAGACGCGAAAGCGUGGGGAGCAAACAGG